AGAAAACAAGGAGGAGGAGGAUAAGAAAAAGAAGAACAAAAAAAUGCAUGUGUGUAAAACUAAACUUUUUCGGCUGCUUCUUCUUUUCAUUUUUUCUCU
rnacentral:ribozyme from 14 species